CAAGUCGCGCGGUCAGCAAUGGCAGCGGCGGACGGGUGCGUAACGCGUAGGAACGUGUCUAGAGGUGGGGGACAACCCUGGGAAACUGGGGCUAAUACCGCAUAUGGGCUGAGGCCCAAAGCCGUGAGGCGCCUUUGGAGCGGCCUGCGUCCGAUUAGCUAGUUGGUGGGGUAAAGGCCUACCAAGGCUCCGAUCGGUAGCUGGUCUGAGAGGACGAUCAGCCACACUGGGACUGAGACACGGCCCAGACUCCUACGGGAGGCAGCAGUGGGGAAUAUUGGACAAUGGGCGCAAGCCUGAUCCAGCAAUGCCGCGUGGGUGAAGAAGGUCUUCGGAUCGUAAAGCCCUUUCGACAGGGACGAUGAUGACGGUACCUGUAGAAGAAGCCCCGGCUAACUUCGUGCCAGCAGCCCGCGGUAAUACGAAGGGGGCUAGCGUUGCUCGGAAUUACUGGGCGUAAAGGGCGCGUAGGCGGCUUAAUCAGUCAGGCGUGAAAUUCC
rnacentral:rRNA from 1 species